rnacentral:rRNA from 1 species
CCCUUAGAUGUUCUGGGCGGCCCGCGCACUACAUUGGCACUCUCAAUAAGUUCCUAGAUCUAAAACUUUGGGGUAUUCUAUUAAGUGGUGUCGUGACUGGGAUUAACCCUUGCAAUUAUUGGUUACGAACGAGGAAUUCCUAGUAAACGCGAGUCAUCAGCUCGCAUUGAUUACGUCCCUGCCCUUUGUACACACCGCCCGUCGCACCUACCGAUUGAAUGUUUCGGUGAAGAUUCCGGAUAGGACUUUUUUGAUUUAUUUCAAUUUUGUCUUAAAAGCUAUCUAAACCUCAACAUUUAGAGGAAGGUGAAGUCGUAACA